CUUACUGUGUCCUUAUAUGGUCUUUCCUUUGUGUGUCUGUAUCCUGAUCUCUUCUUUAGGGACACUAGUCAUAUUGGAUCAGGGCCCACCCUAAUGACCUCAUUUCAAUGUACUCACCUCUUUCCAGGCCCUAUCUCCAAACAACCCGCAUUUCCUCAAAAAUGCGGACUUCAACAUGUCUUUUGGGGGAACAAAGACUUUUGGGGAACAAAGUCUUUGGAGGAACACAGGUCAGACCAUGAUGCCUUGCCCAGCUCACUCCAAACAUGCUGAGCCUCAGUGUCUUCGUCGAUGAAAUGGGGUGGAUCAGAGGGGGCCAUGGACCUCCUGGUACCUCUUCACCCCUUUGCUCACCAGUUUGGUUAUUCCCUCCAGGCUAAACCAUCUGCUAAGGCCACACUGGACCUUGAAAAGAUACUAAUUGUGAGGGUGAUGGCAACUGCGACACCAGCAAUGGCUGUCUCCUCACUCUGUUCCCCACUGAUCCCAGCAUUCCUCAAGGGGCCUCAGCCAUCCAGAUGGUGCCAGGCACAAAUCAACCUACAGGUGCAGACCUGCUCAGAUUAGAUGGAUUGACAGGUGAGGGGGCCAGGGUAGGAACGGCAUGAGAACAGAGUACGUAUGUGUGUGUGUGUGGGUGGGGGGGUGGUGGUGUCAUCAAACACUAUGUGGCAUGAUUGCAAUUAGGGAAAAUAUGUUUGAGAAUGUGCUUGUUCUCAUCUGAGAAUAUUACAUAUUGGAUGGUCAAUAUGUGAAAUAGAAUCUGGAGAGAAACGCACCCAACAGUCA
rnacentral:lncRNA from 1 species